UGGAUGUCCUGGUUUAAGCGUGUAGGCGUGCCCCUUAGGCAAAUCCGGGGGGCUAAGCUGAGGCGUGAUGACGAGGCACUACGGUGCUGAAGUGGUUGAUCCUAUGCUUCCAAGAAAAGCCUCUAAGCUUCAGUUGGAUAGUGACCGUACCGCAAACCGACACAGGUGGGCAGGGUGAGAAUCCUAAGGCGCUUGAGAGAACUCUGGAGAAGGAACUUCGGCAAAAUUGACACCGUAACUUCGGGAUAAGGUGUGCCUCUAUUACGUGAAGGCCCUCGCGGCUGGAGCGGAAAGAGGUUGCAGUGAAAAGGUGGCUGCGACUGUUUAACAAAACACAGCACUGUGCAAACACGAAAGUGGACGUAUACGGUGUGACGCCUGCCCGGUGCCGGAAGGUUAAGUGAUGGGGUGCAAGCUCUUGAUCGAA
rnacentral:rRNA from 1 species